CUCCCCAGACACUCCCUAGAGACACAGGGAGUUGGUUAGGGGCAAGGUGCAUUUCUAGGGGAAGUGAAAUCCUGGGAUCUGGCCCUGGACUAGAGAGAAGCUGAGAUGGGUGAAGUAGCCCCUGGGAGCGGAGGAAGCUUAGGCUGAUAAAUCCAGAGAUGAGCCAGGAGAGGGAGAAGUCAGCUGCCAGACCGAGAGAGAGCCAAUCCCCAGACCCAGCCACAAGGAGGCGCCCCUGCAGCGAGUGCACCCGGUUACAAGCUGGCCACGCUGUGAAAUGUCUCUGUGCCCAUGAGCUGCUGUCACCUUCCUCAGCACCGUGCCGCCUAGCAUCAGGCUGGGACGUUGUCCUCUCCUGACUUUCGCCUGCUGAAUCGCUGGUGCCACUUCUGGCAUCACCAUGUGCUUUCCUCGGUCGUCUCCUGUCCAAAUCCUGUGGAACCAGAUGGGGCGUAGGGUGCUCCGGGCACCGAAAUCUGCAUGCGGGCUCGUCUUUGGAAGGCAUCAUGCGAAGCUACGAGUCUCCAUGCUCCCACCUGGCGGGAUCGCUGCACUUUUAAAUACCCAUGAAUGGAAAGGACGUGGGCAGAUGAAGACGGGACGAAUGGCCAAGGCGGAAUUACGAUCAUGCUGCGUGUCAUCAGAGACGCCUCUUCGAUCUCACGUCUCAGGAAGGGUUAAGCGGCUUACAGGAAGGGGGCUGGAUGGACAGCGGUCUUGGCUGCAUGCCCUUGCAUCCCUACGUGGCAGCUUUGAUUCCAGCCGGGUUCUUUGAUGGGGAACCUUGGCACAGAGACAUUCAGUGACUUGCCUAGAAUCCCAAAGGAAAUUUUUGAACCUGCAUCUCCUGAGUCCCGGCCCCAUGUGUCACCACAAGACUAGCCUCCCUUCUCUGGGAAAACACCCUCCAGGGGUAAGUAGCACAGAGCUGAGUGAAGACAUCCCAGCUAAUGAUUUCCAUGCGGGAGGCCUUUUCUGCCUGUGGAGCCGUACCAUUUGCUUGUCCCUCAAAAUGAUUUGCCAAGCACUUUUGGAAAAUCAUUAGGAACAAUGGGAUCAUUUGACACUGAGUCAGGCCUGUAGCCCACUGAAUCCAGUCUCCUGACUCGGACGGUGGCCAGGACCAGCCACUUCAAAGCAAGGAGCAAGAACCCCGGCGUGGACAGGAAUGGACUAUGUUGUGUGUACAGCACCUUGCACAAUGGGGUCCCAGUCCAUGCCUGGGGGUCACGGUAAU